GGGAGUAGAUGGGUCCUGGUGGGUCCUCUGGACUUCAAAUCCAGUAUCGGGUGGUGGCCCCAUCCGGGGUGGGUUCGAUUCCCACAUACUCCCGCCA
rnacentral:tRNA from 1 species